CCCACCCCCCUGUGUCCGGAUAGGUUUAAAAGGGUAAAGGUCCAGGCAAACCUCUGCCCAUGCUACCAUCUUCUCGACCAAUCAACAUAGGUUGCUGUGUAUGUUUUUGGCGGCGGGAGAUAAACAAAGAGAAACAGAGAGACGAGAGAGUAAUACUAAAGAAGAGUAAUUCUGCCAGCGUAAGAGAAAUAAAUACAACACGAGAUAUCUAGAUACAGUCACACACACACACAAAUACACAUACAUACACACACACACAUAUCCCAAGACAAAUUCAAACCAACAUGUCAAAACGGCGUUACACUACGGAAGAAGCCGUAGAAUUUAUUUUGUCUGGCGGACCGCUUAGCGAUGCAGCGGUGGAUUCCUCAGAUUCUGAAGCUGACAACUGGCAAGGAAGAGGAGUAUGAUCACGGGAUUGAUCCCUUCGAAGAUAAAAAAUACAGAGGAUGAGAGAGGGGAUGCACAAGCCCCUGUCCCCAUCAGUAGGCCUCCUUCAAACCGAGAGGGAAAAGAAUGCGGCCAGGAGGGUGCAGCAUCCAGAAAAAAGGCCAAACCAAUGCCAGCCCCCCUGACAGUGAAAGGGAGAGGAAGAGGAAAAGGGAAAAAAACAUCUCUGACCCCAGAAGAGCCAGGAGCUGUUUGGAACGGACCUGAGGUGCCAGAUACUGCCCAACAACUACCACACUUUUGCCCGAAAAGAGCCCCUGGAGUCCAAGGUUUUGUUGGUGUGGAGUAUACUCCUGCACAAAUAUUUAGAAAUUGUUUUAACAACCAAGCUGUAAAUAUCAUCUGCAAGAACACAAACAAAAAUGCUGAAAAGGAGCAGGCUAAGGGGGAAAAGUUUGUUU